rnacentral:misc_RNA from 1 species
GCGCAGUUUGGCUGUGUGAGUGAGUGAGUGAGUUGGCUCCUCAUUCCUCAAUUCAGUCCAGUUGCGUGACGAACGCCGACCCGAGAGGGACCAAGUCUAGUCGACUAUCCCUACAACACUUGUCGAGAACACACCAUCCGCAAAAUAACCUGUGCUCAUCCAUUACUGGCCCCUUCCACCACGUCUGCCAAUUGUUUACCCAAAGGGUUUCUCCAACAAGAACUUUCCAUUAAAGGUUUACUCACAAAUUUAAGUUCGAAAACUCUAUCAAUUAACUCUCGAAUAAACUUUUAGUGCAUUCUUUCAACUCCUAUCUCGUUGCUGAUACGUGGUCACCUUUCUGAUAAUGAAUUGGAAGACACAGAGACGCAGCCGAGAUACAGACCCGAUAGCUUGAGAUCUUUAUGCAGAGCGACGAGAUUCACCGAAGCUGAAAUAAAAAGGAUUUACAGAGGGUUCAAGGCUGAGUGCCCAACAGGCGUGGUCAAAGAGGACACAUUCAAAGGAAUCUAUGCACGGUUCUUCCCCCAAGGAGCUAACACCAGUCAAUACGCGCACUAUGUUUUUAAUACAUUGGACCAGGACCGAAGCGGCCUUCUUAGUUUUGAGGAUUUUGUACAUGGACUAUCGAUAUUAUCGCGGGGCUCGUUGGAUGAGAAACUUCGCUGGACAUUCUCGCUGUACGACAUCAACGGCGACGGGCGGAUAACGCGAGAGGAGAUGACUGACAUCGUAAACGCGGUCUACGAUCUCAUGGGAAAGUACACCGAGCCGGGCAUCGAGGAUAAUGCCGUCACCUCCAAGGUCGACUCCAUUUUCCAGAAAAUGGACCGGAAUAACGAUGGUGUAGUGACUUUGGACGAGUUUUUAGAGUGCUGUUUGAAUGAUGAAGAUAUAACUAACUCUAUGGCUGUGUUUGACUCAUCCAUUUGACAAGAGUUUGUGAGGAAUGGGGAUGCGAUCACAUUAGAUUUGAAUGGAUAGAAGCUCUCCAACUCUAUGACAUUGCUUAAGUAUGAUGAAUUUGCCGUACCGUAAUCAAAUUUGAAAUCAAUGCGUGGACAAACAUUGAGAAAAUUGAAUUCCCAAUUGGCUGGACAAUCAACAUAAAAUAAAAUAAUCUAAAUUUAUGGUUCGUCUCAAGUUGACUUCCAAUAUCGGUAUAUUUUGUCGAAUUAAAUGUACGGUAUUUUAAACGUGUAAUGAGUGUAAGUAUGUGUUCAAUAUUAACUUGUUUUUUUAUAAUAGAAUAAUAAUAAAGUUGUCAAAAAAGUAUCAAGCCAAAAUGUAUAGGAUAAUAAAUACGUUUCUUCCAUCCAACAAAUACAUCAAAUUAAACGAAUUUAUAUAUUGUAGUAGCUUACUUAAAUUGCAAGAAAAAGACGGAAAACAUAAAAAGAGAUACAAAAUUGAAGUCUUCAACCAUUGCCCGGGUUCAGAACUGAAUUAUUCAAUUUCCUAGCAAUAUUUAGAGGGAACAAAAAAUUCAAACUACUAUGAUUCAGUCUUAUGUUACAUCACAGAAUGAUUACGGUAUAAUUGUUGUUCAUAACAGUAUCACAAUCAGGUUUAAUAUAUAUUAAAAAAUACUCCGGGUUUAAUAAAAAUACUCCAUAAUAUUCCUCUCGAUUCAACAAUCUAAAAUGCAGUUUUCGAACAAUAAUGCCGAAUAUUAGGAACAAGAUACUGCUGUGUGUGUUUAUUUUGAUUAUUUCAAUCACAAUUAAUAAUUAGUAGUCCCAUAACAUCAAGUUGCAGGAUUUCAUGCACUGGUAAAUUAUAACAGUUCAAUCAUGAAAUUGGUUGAUGAGAUUCCAUGAUACAAAUUAUCCAAGAACCAUAAAAAAUAAUAUUUCUGACACUGAGAAUCAAAGGUCAACUCCAAAUCGUAUUGCUGUGUAAUGUAGGCAUGAUAAGAAAUAUUCACAGGUUGAUAAGCUGAGAUCAGAGAAUAUAAUAAUUGUUGGAAAAUGCUGGCUAUUUCAAUAAUAUAGGCUAUUUUAAUUUAUAUUAUUAAUCAUAUAUUCGAUUCAAUUCUUCAUCGAUUGAAAUUGAAGUGAAGUAUUUUCUUCCAACUUGAUACUAUUUUCAAAUUAUUGGUUUUUAUUCCAUAACUGUAUCUACUCGUUUAUUAAUAAUUGAAAAAUGAAAAAUAUCAUUAACCACUAAUUUAGACCUCCUCCUUGAAUUUAACCAAGGAUUUAUGUCUAUUGGAAAGAGUAAUGGUUUAUUUAAAGUUCUUGUUCCAAAUCAUGCAGAUCAUAAUCAAUCUUCACUGCCUUUUGUGAGCUGUGAUUAUAUCAAGUUGUCCCAAAUCCUAAUUCUAUUUUACUUAUCACAAUCCAAAUAGAACAACCGAAAUCCACAAUUCGCCGGAAAUCUAAUUCUCAUUAUAAACCAUUCAUAGUUCAUUGGCUCACACUUUUUGUUGAACAAAGCUGAGAUUCUUUUCUAUCAAUUGGUCAAUUGUUUUUCAGUGAAACCUUAUAUAAUUAUCAUCUCAGAAGGAUACUAUUAGAACAUUUUUAACUAUUGAUGAACUACUUAUAUUCAUUAAAUUCCCCAUGGGGUGUAAGGAUAGGGCUCAUGAAGAGUUGAAAUAUCAACUCAAGGCUCAUACUUCAUUCCAAAACAUUUCAAUCUCUUGCCAAUAAUAUACAGAACUACCUAACUAUGAGUUCUUUGUUACCUGUUCCUGUAUAAAUAACCAAUACCGUAUUGCAGUUUAUCAUUGAGAAGCUCAUAUCAUUUUUUGAAACAUAGCCAGAAACCAUAGUGCGGUAGUUCUCCUAAAGUAUUCAAAGAGGAAAGCUGAAUUUAUCAGUCAGAAAAACAAUAUUUUAUAGUACCGUAAGGCUGUGAAUAUUGGAUCUUAGUUGUUGUUAUCCUGCUUAUGAUUAAUUGUGAUUUACUGCCACUAUAGUGAUUAUAGAUAAUAUUUUGUGGGUAUCCCAAAUUUAUUUAUGUGAUAAAAACCUUCCAGUUUGUCCAUCUUUUUAAUGUAUCAAAGCAGCUUGGAAUAUAACACCAAAAUUUUAUCAAAUUAUAUAUUUAGUACUAUAGCAUAGUAUCAAUAAGAUCCAAAUGGAAAAGUAAAACAAUUAGGAGUAAUAGGUAUCGCAGAAACUUGUACAGCUGGAAUUUCAUAGAUAUACUAGUCAGUCUUAGAGAAAUAUAUAAUUGUUCACAUUUAUGUACAUUUUUCUUUUGAGUGUAUAAAAAAUCAGUGUACAUAAGCUAUCAAAACUGCACAAGAUAUGUUUCGUAUAAGUAUUUAUUUGUUAAUUUGUAAAAUAAGCACAUCAUUAAAAUGAUAUUGAGAGUAUUUCUCACAAGUUUGAUGCUACAGAUUCCACCAUUGGGCUAAGUAGGAGGAGAUCUGAAGUUAAACAUCUUCAUUGAUCUUUUAUGAAUGGGAAAUAGAAAUCCAUUCAAGUUUUACAAACUUGGAUUAGGGAAAAAUAGAAGAAUUUCUAAAAAAAUAAUCUGAAAGCUGUCUGCUCUAGACCAAGCAUAUCAUAAAAUAUAGAAGAGAAACAACAAAAUUUGAUUUGUACCGUACGUAAAUAAUGUUAAAUAUAUUUUUAAUUGUGGGUGUACGUCUAUUACUCUAUAUCCUGAACAGUCGAAAUAUAGGAUUGGUGUUGUUCAAUUCUAUUUAACUAUAUAACUGCUUCUUCCAUGAACUUUUUAGAUUAAUGAAAAAAUAAUAACUUACUUACUCAUAAAGAAAUUAUCCAAUUUUGAAUAUAAAACAAGGGAUGCAAGAUGAAUUUAUUUAUUGUUGCUAAAAUAAUACAAUAUAUCGUUCUCUAUGAUAGCUUAUCAGAAUUUCAUUCCAUCACGGGAAAUAUCAAAUAUUGCGGAUUAUAAACCGGGUUUUGGCACUAUACUUGUGUGUAUUGUGUACAAUAUUACUAAUAUCAUUAAAAAUAUUCCUGAAUAUAUUGCAAUAUUCUUGGACUGGAUUUCAAAAGUGUACGGUACUCAAUAAAGUGUCUCAAUCACAUCAUGUCAGUUCUUAUGUCUUUAAAAAUGGGGAUUCUUUGAUUUGAAUUUCAUUCACUGUUUGAUUAAUUGAAUAUUUCAGUGUGUACUGAUUGUGUACCUUUUCAUUACUCAUAUAUUAACUUUCUGUGUUGCUGUGAAUGUGUGUGGUAGAUAUCCCAUUAUUGAAAUAAAUCGACGUCAACUUGGUCAAAACCACUAACUACGGUAUUUAAAAUUGCGGCUUUACACCAUCAGUAACUCUAGUUAGGUACUAUGUAGUAAACUUGGAACUUUAGUUUACUAAAAAUUGGUGAUGUUUCAAUAAACGAAACCAGUAUCUCCAAUUGUUUCAAUAAAUCAGUAGUUGCUGAUAACUUCAAAUCUUUACCAUUCAAUACUUAUUUAUCAUACUGUAUAUUACAUGAACUAUCAAUAGAUAUUGAAUUGAAUAAUGGUAGAUCGUAGCAUAAAUAUCAAUUUAUGCAUGAUGUGAUUGAGAAAUUCAUAGUUGAACGGAUUUUUCAUAGAAGAAUUAAUAAUUAAUCAGACCUAUAUUAUGAAUUUUUCAUAUUCAAGGAUUUGAAAAUUAGAUGUGGUAAAAUUUUCUACAAAAGCGCAUAAGUCCAUCAAUUCCAAAAGAUUAUCAUAAAAAACCUUAAUCUGAUCUGCAGAACACAAACGUGUGAAGUAUUUGUUGAGCAAUUCUGCAGAAAAUGUAUUUUUUCGGGCUCAUAUUGUCCAAUCGACGCAUCAAUUUGUCAAAAGCAUCAUGAAUCUAGAUAUACUUGCAACUUACUACCCAUUGAUAUUAGAGAUAGGCAUAGCAAAAAAUGUAUUCCAUGUUUUAUAAGGACCAUUUCAAUUCAAUAAAAUAAGUGUAAGUGAAUACCCUUCGUCAUUUCAACUUACAUUUCAAAUUGUACGUACCAAUUACUAUUAGAAAACUGUGUAUGUAUUGCAUGUCGGGUAAUCGAAAAUAGUUAGUUGAAAUGCCAUUAAGGUGAUGGAUGUUAUCUAUUUAAGAUAUUUGUCUAGAAAUACUACCGGUCAUUUUAGGAUUACAUGAAUCGGAUUUGUAUUUAAGAAAGAAAAGUUUAUAAGAUGUUUUGUAACAUAUUUUCAUAGAAUUACAUAUGUACAUACUAUAAUGACUAUUGUAACCACAAUAUUAUUAGAAAUCGGAUGAAUAUAUUUAUAGAUGUUUAUUGUUAAAGUUGCGUGGUGAUAUGUUUCUCUUGUUACGUGUUGGAUGUUUAAUCUGGUCUAUAAAUCGUUGUUAGGUCGAAUAGUUUAUUUAUUGAUCAUAAUUUACUAUAGACGUUAGCUAUUAUUAUUGGUGAACAUUGUACUGUAUCGUUAGCUUACUAGUUGGUAAGUCCAACAUUGUAUGUGCUAAAUGAAUGUUUGAUGCCUAAAUUGAAUUAUCAAUAUGUUUGAGAUGUGUAUGUUCAACCGGAUCAAAGAUAACUGUUGAAACCCUAUUGUUAUGCUGGUUUCAUUUCAACCCUCACAAGGACUAAUUAUUUGAAACUCAGAUUUAUCAUACAAAAAUAGAGUUAUCUGGUUAUCAGAUGAGUAGAAAUUGAAUAAAACCUGAUUGAAUGUCUUGAUCAGUCUGUUGUGAACUGAUAAAUUCUUGCAAGCUUUCAACGUAGUCAUGUAAUAUUACUGACUAUUUUCAUGAGAGAAAAUUAUUUAGAAAACUGGCCUAUGGUAAAUGAAAAAUAGGCCCACCUAGAUCGUUAAGCUCCAAGCUAUCAUUAGGAUGCAAUUAAAGUCACCCUACUUACCUACGAUUUGUCUCCGACACAACAUUAAACACACUCUCUAAGUAUCAAACUCAUGAAACUCCUGUAGGCUACGAUAUGGAAUUAAUUGUAUUAUACCUCUUAUAUGGGAUGUAUCAUGACAGUUUGAUAUAAUACAUCAAGCGUAGCGUAAGCCUAUCAUAAAGGAUAUUGACAUUCUUGAAAAUAAUGCUCUUUUUAUAGUAAAUUAGGUGAAUAGUCUGAUCGGAUUGAGCAAAAAUUAGAAAACGAAAUUAGAUAGCCAAAUACUGAAAGAAUUUAUUAGUUUGUUAAUGCAGCUUCAGUAUCUUUUGAAAGAAGGUUCAAUAAAAAAUGGGAAUGUAAUUCACCAAAGGAGAUAUCCAAAUUUGAAUAAAUAGGUGGAAAAUAUUGGAGUUAAAACUGUUGUCAAAAAGUUUUUAGGGAUUCCUAAUAGAGAUAUAAUUCUUUAUUCUAGAAGUAGGCCUACCGUAUAUACAAUAGAUAUUCCCAUGAGUCUAGAAAAUCUACAGACAUUGGAUAGUAAAAUGCUUCUUACUCUAUAUGAACCUCAACAAAUAUGAAUAUGUUCGAACAUUUACUUUCCGGAGAACCUCAGCCUCUUUGGCUCAUGAGUUCGGUGAGAUUGAGUGGUUCCAGACUAUUUCACGCAAAUUUUAUAAGAAAGGAAUAAAUGAAUAAAUCUUCCUUGUUGUCUAGUUGAAACUAUUUUAUUCGAAUUCCAUCUUUUGAUGAUCCAUCUCUAUCAUUAUAAGUAUCAAUGGAUUUGAUUCUCCAAUGAUAGGGUGUGUCAUGAAGAGUAGUUUUGAGGCGAGCUCGACUCUCCUUCUGAUUUUUCAACGUUUUAUUGAACUCA